GUGGGGAAUUUUGGACAAUGGGCGCAAGCCUGAUCCAGCAAUGCCGCGUGUGUGAAGAAGGCCUUCGGGUUGUAAAGCACUUUUGGCAGGAAAGAAAUAGUGCGUGCUAAUACCAUGCGCGAAUGACGGUACCUGCAGAAUAAGCACCGGCUAACUACGUGCCAGCAGCCGCGGUAAGACGUAGGGUGCAAGCGUUAAUCGGAAUUACUGGGCGUAAAGCGUGCGCAGGCGGUUUUGUAAGACAGGUGUGAAAUCCCCGGGCUCAACCUGGGAACGGCACUUGUGACUGCAAGGCUAGAGUGUGUCAGAGGGAGGUGGAAUUCCGCGUGUAGCAGUGAAAUGCGUAGAGAUGCGGAGGAACACCGAUGGCGAAGGCAGCCUCCUGGGAUAACACUGACGCUCAGGCACGAAAGCGUGGGGAGCAAACAGGAUUAGAAACCCGUGUAGUCC
rnacentral:rRNA from 1 species